rnacentral:lncRNA from 1 species
AGCUUGUUUACCUCCCAGUGCUCUUCACAUUGAAUGCUGAAAAACAAAAUGAUUUUUUAAUGAAGAAAAGUUUUAAAUUAAAAAUUUACUUGAAAGACACCUCUACAGAAGCUGCAAAAACCUCUAAGCAUGCUUAAUCCCUACAUCUUCUUCAGCUGGGUGAACAAGACCUCAAAUUAGGGUCCCAACUCAUUCCUUUCCUAGACUUCAUAUAGAUUUGAACAGCAAUCAAUAAUCCAAUUUACAUCUCAGCCAACACCUUUUGUGACUACAGCUUCCCAUCAGGCCUGUAUUUAUUUUAGCCCUGUAUCUCCUGAGAGCUGUUUGCACCAUCUUGAUAUCCUAGGAGUACCAACAGAUUGUGUGGGCUGCCAGGAGGAGGAAUUAAAAUUACCUGUCUACUUCCACCUCCCCGAGAUCUAUGGCCUUGGAAUAAUUCUGCAAAUCCUGAAGAAAUAGAAAAACAAUUUUAUAGAGAGGAAAUUGACUUCAUGUGUAUGCUAGGUCACCUCCAGUACUGCGUAUUGAAUACCCAUUGUUGUCAAUCCCAAGAAUCCAAAGCUGCACAACACUGGAGGCGGAAUUUCAUCUUCAAGCAAACUGCUAAGGAAAUGAGAGGGGCGAACCCACUCCAGAAAUCUUUUCAUACCAAGGUUUCUGAGACAAAUGCUGAGAAUUUUCUGCCUUAAAUGAACAUUCUGGUUGAAUCCUUGGAAAAGAGCACAAACUGUCAGGCUAUUUUACAGCUAGUAUUUGGCUAGACUCAGUAAUAAGUGAAACACCCUUCUCAACGGUGAAGAGGUAAUCCUGAGAAACUGUGCUUGGAAGAGUGCUGUUGGUGGAAAACCCUACUGGGUGUAGUGGUUUAUCUUUCUAUUAAGAUAUGUUUCAGCCUUGUUUCUCUGGGGCUUAGGGGACAUGCCCAUUAGCACCCAGCAGUGCAAAAGUUUUCUUUAACUCUUUCUGAUUAUGAUUCUGUUAUGUUAAGAGCUCCUCAGCAGAUGAGGCCAUUGCAGAUUUCCAGGAUGUCUUUCUUAAUUCUGAAUUCUACUCUGAAUAUCAGUUCAAUACGCAGAAUAUGGGGGGAAUUAUUUCUUUUCAAUAAAAGUUAUCAAAUACUCUAUCA